CGGCUCCCAGGGCUGGUCCCAUCCACGUGGUCCUGACCCGCCCUCCGGGAGCCACAGCAACGGGACUGGAUUGGGGGCUCCUGCCCGAGUGGACGCAGGAGACCACGGUUGCCAGUACAACA
ensembl:snoRNA small Cajal body-specific RNA 23